rnacentral:snRNA from 1 species
GUCGCUCCUCGGCCUUUUGGCUAAGAUCAAGUGUAGUAUCUGUUCUUAUCAGUUUAAUACCUGAUCCGUCCUCUAUCCGAGGACAAUCUAUUAAAUAGAUUUUUGGAGCAGGGAGUUGAAAUAGGAGCUUGCUCCGUCCACUCCACGCAUUGACCCGGUAUUGCAGUACUUCUGGUGCACACACAAA